GUGUCAGCAGCCGCGGUAAUACAGAGGGUGCGAACGUUGUUCGGAAUUACUGGGCAUAAAGCGCGCGUAGGCGGCGACGUAAGUGUAGGGUGAAAUCCCACGGCUCACCCGUGUGAAUUGCCCCGCAUACUGCGUUGCUGGAGUGUGGUAGGGGAGAGCGGAACUCCUGGUGGAGCGGUGAAAUGCGUAGAUAUCAGGAGGAACACCGGUGGCGAAGGCGGCUCUCUGGUCCACAACUGACGCUGAAGCGCGAAAGCUAGGGUAGCGAACGGGAUUAGAUACCCCGAGUAGUCC
rnacentral:rRNA from 1 species